GACGUAGGGCGCGAGCGUUGUCCGGAUUUAUUGGGCGUAAAGAGCUCGUAGGCGGCUUGUCGCGUCGUCCGUGAAAACUUGGGGCUCAACCCCAAGCUUGCGGUCGAUACGGGCAGGCUUGAGUUUGGUAGGGGAGACUGGAAUUCCUGGUGUAGCGGUGAAAUGCGCAGAUAUCAGGAGGAACACCGGUGGCGAAGGCGGGUCUCUGGGCCGAUACUGACGCUGAGGAGCGAAAGCGUGGGGAGCGAACAGG
rnacentral:rRNA from 1 species